CCUACGGGUGGCAGCAGUCGAGAAUCAUUCACAAUGGGGGAAACCCUGAUGGUGCGACGCCGCGUGGGGGAAUGAAGGUCUUCGGAUUGUAAACCCCUGUCAUGUGGGAGCAAAUUAAAAAGAUAGUACCACACGAGGAAGAGACGGCUAACUCUGUGCCAGCAGCCGCGGUAAUACAGAGGUCUCAAGCGUUGUUCGGAAUCACUGGGCGUAAAGCGUGCGUAGGCUGUUUCGUAAGUCGUGUGUGAAAGGCGCGGGCUCAACCCGAGGACGGCACAUGAUACUGCGAGACUAGAGUAAUGGAGGGGGAACCGGAAUUCUCGGUGUAGCAGUGAAAUGCGUAGAUAUCGAGCGGAACACUCGUGGCGAAGGCGGGUUCCUGGACAUUAACUGACGCUGAGGCACGAAGGCCAGGGGAGCGAAAGGGAUUAGAUACCCUUGUAGUC
rnacentral:rRNA from 1 species